AGCUGGAGUUUCUGCCUAGACUUUGGUCAGAGGGAACCCAGAGGGACCAGGAUGAAGAGUGAAGGAAAUGCCAAGGAGCUGACUGUCUGUCUGUCAAAGAAGACCCUGUUGAAAGCCCUGGGAGAAAUGGAGGAGGUGACAGUCUUUUCACCCAGAAAAGGGAAGCGGUUUGCCUAUGGUUAACGAGGAAGUUAUUGGCUGAGCUGGAAUGGAAGUGCAGCAGGUCACCUAAAUCUCUUGACUCCAGCCUACUUAGCAGCAGAUAUUCCAAAACCAGAUUUGGGGUUAAGAGAACAAGAGAGACGACAAAUGGAAUCUCUCUUCUUACUGGGUGGUCAGUUCCUGCCUCCUGAGCAGAGCAGAAGUUAUUCUUCAGUGUCUAAAGGAAAGAGAGAAUCAUAAGAUAAUAAAAUGUCAAUCUGGAAAGGACCUCA
rnacentral:lncRNA from 1 species